GCGGCAAAAUGACUAGGAACCAGUGUUCUGUUAUCCAUUACAUUACAACAACCAACAGAAAACUGCAUUUAUCCGGUUACCUUCCCGUGGAGCGGAGGUUGCAGCGACAGUGGACCAAAAUUGCCGAACCAAACGGCUCUGAAAGGUGCUCUUUGGUUAACAAGCGUGAGGUUGUUUCAUUGACUUCUGAUUAGUUAGGUUUAUCCGUAGUGGAUCAUGCUUUGAAUCAAUACGGUCGUGUACAACAAGCAUACCGCUCCCCUUGAGUAUUAUCCGACGGCUCCCUCGUAGUCACAGC
rnacentral:lncRNA from 7 species